ACUGCAGUCGAACGAUUAAGACUCUCUUCGGAGAGUGUAUUAAGUGGCGCACGGGUGAGUAACACGAUAGGUAAUGUACCGUAGGGUGGGGAAUAACUUAGGGAAACUUAAGCUAAUACCGCAUAAUGCAGCGGCUCGACAUCGAGACAGUUGUUAAAGGAGUAAUCCGCCAUAUGAGCAGCCUGCGGCAGAUUAGCUAGUUGGUAAGGUAAUGGCUUACCAAGGCUACGAUCUGUAACCGACCUGAGAGGGUGGUCGGUCACACUGACACUGAAUAACGGGUCAGACUCCUACGGGAGGCAGCAGUCGGGAAUUUUGGGCAAUGGGCGAAAGCCUGACCCAGCAACGCCGCGUGAAGGAUGAAGUCUCUCGGGAUGUAAACUUCGUAAGAAUAGGAAGAAUAAAUGACGGUACUAUUUGUAAGGUCCGGCUAACUACGUGCCAGCAGCCGCGGUAAUACGUAGGGACCAAGCGUUGUUCGGAUUUACUGGGCGUAAAGGGCGCGUAGGCGGCGUGGUAAGUCACUUGUGAAAUCUCCGAGCUUAACUCGGAACGGUCAAGUGAUACUGCUGUGCUAGAGUACAGAAGGGGCAAUCGGAAUUCUUGGUGUAGCGGUGAAAUGCGUA
rnacentral:rRNA from 1 species